AUUGAACGCUGGCGGCAGGCUUAACACAUGCAAGUCGAGCGGGGUGAUGGUGCUUGCACUAUCACUUAGCGGCGGACGGGUGAGUAAUGCUUAGGAAUCUGCCUAUUAGUGGGGGACAACAUCUCGAAAGGGAUGCUAAUACCGCAUACGUCCUACGGGAGAAAGUAGGGGAUCACUUGUGACCUUGCGCUAAUAGAUGAGCCUAAGUCGGAUUAGCUAGUUGGUGGGGUAAAGGCCUACCAAGGCGACGAUCUGUAGCGGGUCUGAGAGGAUGAUCAGCCACACUGGGACAGAGACGCAGCGCAGACUCCUACGGGAGGCAGAAGUGGGGAAUAUUGGACAAUGGGGGGAACACUGAUCCAGCCAUGCCGCGUGUGUGAAGAAGGCCUUAUGGUUGUAAAGCACUCUAAGCGAGGAGGAGGCUCUUUUGGUUAAUACCCAGAAUGAGUGGACGUUACUCGCAGAAUAAGCACCGGCUAACUCUGUGCCAGCCGCCGCCGUAA
rnacentral:rRNA from 1 species